rnacentral:misc_RNA from 1 species
UCUCCGUUGGUGAACCAGCGGAGGGAUCAUUACCGAGUUUACAACUCCCAAACCCUUGUUAACCUUCACCUUUUUUUGUUUCCGGAUAAUCGCCCUCCCGCUUCAAGGUGGCGGAUCCCAGCACCACCCCUAAUCCCCUAACUCUUUGUUAAAUAUGUUUCUUAUACGAUUAACAAAACAAAAAUUAAAAAAAACUUUCUACAACGUCUCUCUUGGUUCUAGCACCGAUGAAAAGCGAAGCACACCGGACAACCCCACGUCUCAACUGCAAUCCCUUCU